UGUUUGUGAUUUUUUUAUAGAUUGUUAAACCUUAUGUGCCAGAAAACGUAUAUAAAGUGCUUCAAAUUUAUGUCCCUCAAGUGGUUGAAACGAGACCACUUGAGGAAACAGAUGAACAUUUGUAUGAAAAUGAGCUGGAAAUCUACGACGAUAUUCCAGAAAUAGACGACGAACAAGUACGUAUACUUGACAGAAUUGUUAGAAGAAUAGAUGAUCAUUUACAGAAUGAAUUUGGUACGCCGAGGAGAACAAAUGGUUUAGCAAGUAAUGUUAGACGUAUAGUAUGUUUUGGUUGUUGUUUGUGUGAUGAACAAAGCGAGCACGAUCAUUGUUGUGUAACAACCGUGUGCCCGUACGUGCAAGAACUAUUUGAACGGUGCCGCGGUUGUUGCUAUUGUAUUUAAAAAAAAUAUGUAAAUUGUAUAUAUGUAAAAUAAAAAAUUCAUUUAUCAAAA